CCAAUAGCGUAUAUUAAAGUUGUUGCAGUUAAAAAGCUCGUAGUUGAAUUUCGGGAUCAAUACGUCGGUCGUGCUUCGGUACGUACUGGCGUCAUUGAUUUCUCCCUUCUGACGAACCAUGAUGUCAUUUACUUGGUGUCAUGGGAAAUCAGGACUGUUACUUUGAAAAAAUUAGAGUGUUUAAAGCAGGCUCACGCUUGAAUACAUUAGCAUGGAAUAAUGAAAUAGGACGUUCGAUCCUAUUUUGUUGGUUUUAGGAUCAACGUAAUGAUUAAUAGGGAUAGUUGGGGGCAUUAGUAUUCAAUUGUCAGAGGGGAAAUUCUUGGAUUUAUUGAAGACUAACUACUGCGAAAGCAUUUGCCAAGGAUGUUUUCAUUAAUCAAGAACGAAAGUUAGGGGAUCGAAGACGAUCAGAUACCGUCGUAGUCUUAACCAUAAACUAUGCCGACUAGGGAUCGGAUGAUGUUAAUUUUUUAAUGACUCAUUCGGCGCCUUACG
rnacentral:rRNA from 1 species